rnacentral:rRNA from 1 species
AAACCAGCACCUCAAGUGGUCAGGAUGAUUAUUGGGCCUAAAGCAUCCGUAGCCUGCUUUGUCAGUUUUCGGUUAAAUCCAUACGCUCAACGUAUGGGCUGCCGGAAAUACUGCAAAGCUAGGGAGUGGGAGAGGUAGACGGUACUCGGGAGGAAGGGGUAAAAUCCUUUGAUCUCUCGAUGACCACCUGUGGCGAAGGCGGUCUACCAGAACACGUCCGACGGUGAGGGAUGAAAGCUGGGGGAGCAAACCGGAUUAGAAACCCGGGUAGUCC